GCCUUUAUAGUUUAUUUAAAACAUCGAUCUUGUAAAUCGCAAAUUAUUAAAGGCA
rnacentral:tRNA from 1 species